rnacentral:tRNA from 1 species
GGGUUUAUAGCUCAGUGGUAGAGCGCUUGCCUUGCAUGCAAGAGGCACUGGGUUCGAUCCU